GCCAGGCAUGGUGGUGCAUGCCUGUAGUCCCAGCUACUCAGGAGGCUGAGGCAGGAGGAUCACUUGAGCCCAGGAGUUGAAGGUUGCAGUGAGCUAUGGUUGCACCACUGCACUCCAGCCUGGACAACAGAGUGAGAUGUUGUCUCUU
rnacentral:SRP_RNA from 1 species